rnacentral:rRNA from 1 species
UACGUAGGUGGCAAGCGUUGUCCGGAUUUACUGGGCGUAAAGAGCGCGCAGGCGGUCGUACAAGUCGCGUGUGAAAGCCCCCGGCUCAACUGGGGAGGGUCACGCGAUACUGUUCGACUCGAAGGCAGGAGAGGGAAGCAGAAUUCCCGGUGUAGUGGUGAAAUGCGUAGAUAUCGGGAGGAAUACCAGUGGCGAAGGCGGCUUCCUGGCCUGUUCUUGACGCUGAGGCGCGAAAGCUAGGGUAGCAAACGGA